UACGUAGGUGGCAAGCGUUGUCCGGAUUUACUGGGCGUAAAGAGCGCGCAGGCGGUCGUUCAAGUCGCGUGUGAAAGCCCCCGGCUCAACUGGGGAGGGUCACGCGAUACUGAUCGACUCGAAGGCAGGAGAGGGUAGUGGAAUUCCCGGUGUAGUGGUGAAAUGCGUAGAUAUCGGGAGGAACACCAGUGGCGAAGGCGACUACCUGGCCUGUUUCUUGACGCUGAGGCGCGAAAGCUAGGGGAGCAACAGGGAUUAAGAAACC
rnacentral:rRNA from 1 species